UACGAAGGGGGGCUAGCGUUGCUCGGAAUCACUGGGCGUAAAGGGUGCGUAGGCGGGUUUUUAAGUCAGGGGUGAAAUCCUGGAGCUCAACUCCAGAACUGCCUUUGAUACUGAAGAUCUUGAGUUCGGGAGAGGUGAGUGGAACUGCGAGUGUAGAGGUGAAAUUCGUAGAUAUUCGGAAGAACACCAGUGGCGAAGGCGACUUACUGGACACAUAUUGACGCUGAGGUGCGAAAGCGUGGGGAGCAAACAGG
rnacentral:rRNA from 1 species